AUACGGAGGGUGCGAGCGUUAAUCGGAAUUACUGGGCGUAAAGCGCGCGUAGGCGGUUUGUUAAGUCAGAUGUGAAAUCCCUGGGCUCAACCUAGGAACUGCAUUUGAAACUGGAUAUCUAGAGUAUGGUAGAGGUGAGUGGAAUUUCAGGUGUAGCGGUGAAAUGCGUAGAGAUCUGAAGGAACAUCAGUGGCGAAGGCGACUCGCUGGGCCAUUACUGACGCUGAGGUGCGAAAGCGUGGGUAGCAAACAGGAUUAGAAACCCCAGUAGUCC
rnacentral:rRNA from 1 species